GACGAACGCUGGCGGCGUGCUUAACACAUGCAAGUCGAACGGAAAGGCCCUGCUUUUGUGGGGUGCUCGAGUGGCGAACGGGUGAGUAACACGUGAGUAACCUGCCCUUGACUUUGGGAUAACUUCAGGAAACUGGGGCUAAUACCGGAUAGGAGCUCCUGCUGCAUGGUGGGGGUUGGAAAGUUUCGGCGGUUGGGGAUGGACUCGCGGCUUAUCAGCUUGUUGGUGGGGUAGUGGCUUACCAAGGCUUUGACGGGUAGCCGGCCUGAGAGGGUGACCGGCCACAUUGGGACUGAGAUACGGCCCAGACUCCUACGGGAGGCAGCAGUGGGGAAUAUUGCACAAUGGGCGGAAGCCUGAUGCAGCAACGCCGCGUGCGGGAUGACGGCCUUCGGGUUGUAAACCGCUUUCGCCUGUGACGAAGCGUGAGUGACGGUAAUGGGUAAAGAAGCACCGGCUAACUACGUGCCAGCAGCCGCGGUGAUACGUAGGGUGCGAGCGUUGUCCGGAUUUAUUGGGCGUAAAGGGCUCGUAGGUGGUUGAUCGCGUCGGAAGUGUAAUCUUGGGGCUUAACCCUGAGCGUGCUUUCGAUACGGGUUGACUUGAGGAAGGUAGGGGAGAAUGGAAUUCCUGGUGGAGCGGUGGAAUGCGCAGAUAUCAGGAGGAACACCAGUGGCGAAGGCGGUUCUCUGGGCCUUUCCUGACGCUGAGGAGCGAAAGCGUGGGGAGCGAACAGGCUUAGAUACCCUGGUAGUCCACGCUGUAAACGGUGGGUACUAGGUGUGGGGUCCAUUCCACGGGUUCCGUGCCGUAGCUAACGCUUUAAGUACCCCGCCUGGGGAGUACGGCCGCAAGGCUAAAACUCAAAGGAAUUGACGGGGCCCCGCACAAGCGGCGGAGCAUGCGGAUUAAUUCGAUGCAACGCGUAGAACCUUACCUGGGUUUGACAUGGAUCGGGAGUGCUCAGAGAUGGGUGUGCCUCUUUUGGGGUCGGUUCACAGGUGGUGCAUGCCUGUCGUCAGCUCGUGUCGUGAGAUGUUGGGUUAAGUCCCGCAACGAGCGCAACCCUUGUUCACUGUUGCCAGCACGUUAUGGUGGGGACUCAGUGGAGACCGCCGGGGUCAACUCGGAGGAAGGUGGGGAUGACGUCAAGUCCUCAUGCCCCUUAUGUCCAGGGCUUCACGCAUGCUACAAUGGCUGGUACAGAGAGUGGCGAGCCUGUGAGGGUGAGCGAAUCUCGGAAAGCCGGUCUCAGUUCGGAUUGGGGUCUGCAACUCGACCUCAUGAAGUCGGAGUCGCUAGUAAUCGCAGAUCAGCAACGCUGCGGUGAAAAAGUUCCCGGGGCU
rnacentral:rRNA from 1 species